rnacentral:rRNA from 1 species
AACGAACGCUGGCGGCAUGCCUAACACAUGCAAGUCGAACGAGACCUUCGGGUCUAGUGGCGCACGGGUGCGUAACGCGUGGGAACCUGCCCUUAGGUUCGGAAUAACUCCCCGAAAGGGGUGCUAAUACCGGAUAAUGUCUUCGGACCAAAGAUUUAUCGCCUUUGGAUGGGCCCGCGUUGGAUUAGCUAGUUGGUAGGGUAAAAGCCUACCAAGGCGGCGAUCCAUAGCUGGUCUGAGAGGAUGAUCAGCCACACUGGGACUGAGACACGGCCCAGACUCCUACGGGAGGCAGCAGUGGGGAAUAUUGGACAAUGGGCGAAAGCCUGAUCCAGCAAGGCCGCGUGAGUGAUGAAGGCCUUAGGGUUGUAAAGCUCUUUUACCCGGGAUGAUAAUGACAGUACCGGGAGAAUAGCUCCGGCUAACUCCGUG